CCUCACCCCCCACCCCCCAAAAAAAGUUUGACCUAAUUCCCUCUAUAUAAACAUUCUCUUCCUUUAGUGUUGGAGGUGAGAAAAACAGAGGAGAAUACUUAGAUAGAGUUGGGGAGACAAAAAAUCUGAAAGAAAUAUAAAUACAAGAAUACAUACAUCAAAAAAAAAAUUAGUAGUGAAGUUCCUCAAGCAAGAAUCUAUAAGAGAAUUUCUUUUGUGCUCGCCUCUUGCAAAGCUCGUCGGAGUGUCGUUGGGGUAGUGAAGUUGCUGCUCCUUCUAGCUCGUCGUCUUCCCUACUUCACUGUCGGGAAAGGAAAUCUCCUCCCUUGUGUCUAGCUACGAAGAUGGUAUAUGACCAAUGUAAAUUAUGCGAGUUCUCAUAGAGUAUUAAUUCUAGAAUAUGAUAUGGUCAUUUCUUUUCAGAUGGAUGUAAUAUAUUGCUCCUUAACAUUUAAAGAAUUUUGUUAUGUAAUUUUGAAAUGCUUAUAUUUUUCAUAUAUGAUGGCUAAUUUGUUUCAAUAAUCUUACUUGUAUAUUUGCGUCAAUACUUAUUGUAUAGCAAAUAAAUAAGAUUUGAGCAAUUAAAUUGGAGUAGAAAUAGAAUGAAAUUAUGAGAAUAAAAAAAUGGAAUAACUGUUGAUGCAUUUAACACAAUAUGACAGUUUAAAAAAUAGCCACUUGAUCUCACAUAUAAAUUAUGACGGUGCUAAACUGUUGUAUUAAACAAUUAUAAUCGUCGUUCUAUACGAAUUACAGUUACAACAGUUUUGCCAAAACCGCCGCAAUAAUUUGUGACGACGUAAUUACUAUGCUUUUUAGAACUGCCACAAAUGAACAUAGUGCGGUUAAAACUGUCGCAAUGCCCUUAUAAAAAUUGUCGCAAUUCAUCCGUUUUCUUGUAGUGUCUAGAGAGGGAAAUAUUUGCGAGGAAGAUGUGUUCUUCUUUUAGGGAUUUGAGAGAAUGAUAUCAAUUGGGUAAAUUUAAGGUACAAGUACUUAUAUAGGGUUUUAGGUGAAGGUCAAAAUAACAUAGUAUUAGACUUGAAUAAUUAGGAAAAGACUCAAAAGCCCUUAAAAAAUAAUCAUUGAGUUCACCAAAGAUGUAACACCUUGGGUUAAGAGAAGGAAAACAUUCAUUUCUCAGCCGAUUCGGUGAAGUAAGUCGAGAAUGCCGAACGAGAACUUCUCGCCUUUUUGGCUUGAUUUUUGCAUCCAUUUGUUCUUGACCUUUAGGCGAGCUGUAUUAAACUCGUUGUUCCAUUCAGUGAGUCACCAAAAUGAAUUCCCCGUCGCCGAGUUAGCUUAUUCCAAG
rnacentral:lncRNA from 1 species